GCCAGCAGCCAUAUCACCCUGCAACUCACAAUUGGCAACCACCUGAAGCUAAGCAGGUGUGAGCCUGGUCAGUACCUGGAUGGGAGACCUGGGAAAAACUUAUUUUUGCUGCUGGAA
rnacentral:rRNA from 1 species